GACGUAGGGCGCGAGCGUUGUCCGGAUUUAUUGGGCGUAAAGAGCUCGUUAGGCGGCUCGUCGCGUCGUCCGUGAAAACCCGCGGCUUAACCGCGGGCUUGCGGUUGAUACGGGCGGGCUAGAGUUCGGUAGGGGAGACUGGAAUUCCUGGUGUAGCGGUGAAAUGCGCAGAUAUUGGGAGGAACACCAGCGGCGAAGGCGGCACUCUGGGCUGGUACUGACGCUGAGGAGCGAAAGCGUGGGUAGCGAACAGG
rnacentral:rRNA from 1 species